ACUCCUACGGGAGGCAGCAGUAGGGAAUCUUCCACAAUGGGCGCAAGCCUGAUGGAGCAACACCGCGUGAGUGAAGAAGGGUUUCGGCUCGUAAAGCUCUGUUGUUAAAGAAGAACACGUAUGAGAGUAACUGUUCAUACGUUGACGGUAUUUAACCAGAAAGUCACGGCUAACUACGUGCCAGCAGCCGCGGUAAUACGUAGGUGGCAAGCGUUAUCCGGAUUUAUUGGGCGUAAAGAGAGUGCAGGCGGUUUUCUAAGUCUGAUGUGAAAGCCUUCGGCUUAACCGGAGAAGUGCAUCGGAAACUGGAUAACUUGAGUGCAGAAGAGGGUAGUGGAACUCCAUGUGUAGCGGUGGAAUGCGUAGAUAUAUGGAAGAACACCAGUGGCGAAGGCGGCUACCUGGUCUGCAACUGACGCUGAGACUCGAAAGCAUGGGUAGCGAACAGGAUUAGAUACCCUGGGUAGGAUAGCG
rnacentral:rRNA from 1 species